rfam:Triticum aestivum genome assembly, contig: Triticum_aestivum_CS42_TGACv1_scaffold_499881_6BL
AUACUACUUCUUCCGUCUCAAAUUUUUUGUCUUAGAUUCGUCUAAAUAUGGAUGUAUCUAAUAUUAGAAUGUGACUUGAUACAUUCUAUUUAGAUAAAUCUAGGAUAAAGUUUUUGGAACGGAGAAAGUACUUG